rnacentral:tRNA from 1 species
GUUCUUGUAGUUGAAGUACAACGGUGAUUUUUCAUGUCACUAGUCAUGGUU